AUACGUAGGGGGCGAGCGUUGUCCGGAAUGAUUGGGCGUAAAGGGCGCGUAGGCGGCCCGGUAAGUCUGGAGUGAAAGUCCUGUUUUUAAGAUGGGAAUUGCUUUGGAUACUGUCGGGCUUGAGUGCAGGAGAGGUAAGUGGAAUUCCCAGUGUAGCGGUGAAAUGCGUAGAUAUUAGGAGGAACAUCGGUGGCGAAGGCGGCUUACUGGGCCUUUACUGACGCUGAGGCACGAAAGCGUGGGGAGCAAACAGGAUUAGAUACCCUGGUAGUCCACGCUGUAAACGAUGAUGACUAGGUGUGGGGGGACUGAACCCUUCCGUGCCGCAGUUAACACAAUAAGUCAUCCACCUGGGGAGUACGGCCGCAAGGUUGAAACUCAAAUGAAUUGGCGGGG
rnacentral:rRNA from 1 species